CGGAGGGUGCAAGCGUUAUCCGGAUUCACUGGGUUUAAAGGGAGCGCAGGCGGACUGGUAAGUCAGUGGUGAAAUACCUGAGCUUAACUCGGGAACUGCCAUUGAUACUAUCAGUCUUGAAUGUUGUUGAGGUUUGCGGAAUGGGUCAUGUAGCGGUGAAAUGCAUAGAUAUGACCCGGAACACCUAUUGCGAAGGCAGCAGGCUAAACAAAUAUUGACGCUGAGGCUCGAAAGCGUGGGGAUCAAACAGGAUUAGAUACCCUGGUAGACCACGCCCUAAACGAUGAUUACUCGACAUACGCGAUACACUGUGUGUGUCUGAGCGAAAGCAUUAAGUAAUCCACCUGGGAAGUACGACCGCAAGGUUG
rnacentral:rRNA from 1 species